CACCGCGGUUAUACGAGAGACCCAAGUUGAUAAGCCCGGCGUAAAGAGUGGUUAUGGACAUUACGAAACUAAAGCUAAAGACCCCCUAGGCUGUUAUACGCACCUGGCGGCUCGAACCACUAACACGAAAGUAGCUUUACCUCCCUCCUACCAGAACCCACGACAGCUGGGGCA
rnacentral:rRNA from 1 species